GGCACCCCAUAAUGGAGGAAAAUUAAGAACAUGUGUGCCUAUAAAAGCAAACCUGUUCUGGCCUCCUGGAGGAUGAGACUAGCUGGAGGACAGCCCAGUUGUCUCAGCUGUGAAAACCCUAAACUAGCCAGUGGACCCCGGCCAUAUGGCAAACUCCUAGAGAAGGGCCCAAUAAUAAGUGCUGAGUUUGCACAGAGGAUGAAGGCAGAGCAAGUGAUGAUGGAAGGCUUGCGAAGAAGAAGCUUACUUCUGAGCUGAGCUUCAGAGAAGACACUGGCAAAAAAGGCAGACAACGCAAGAAACCUCUCGAUUCCUUGCAAGCAUGAAAGCUACUUCCCCAAAAUGAAUUGUCCUCCAGAAAGAAGAGGCACUGCUUCCUUUUCAGAGGUGGCCUCACCGAGCUUUCUCAGUUUGCUGCUGCUAUGAGAUUGAGCUUCGGCCAACAGAACGUGGGUAAGUAUGAUAUGGGCCCCUCCACGCAUUCUUUACUCCGUUGUUCUCUUCUGGCUGACUCAGAUGGCAACACCAGGAUGACUUCCAAAGCCACAUGUUCAAGAUGGCAGAUUCGCUACCAGCUUGGACUCCUGAGUGACUGGGGACCAGAUGCACACACCACCCCCAAACCUUCAACACACACUUUAUUUGUCACCUCCCUGGACUGUUCCAUAAUGAUACAAUGAAAAAUUUUUAUUGCGCUGAGUGCUUACAAUUUGGAUCUGUUUGUAAUCACCGUCUAGCCUACUUGAAUACAUAUGUGAUCCUAAUACUGCUAAAAUUAUGAAAGCCUGUUGCCCAGAGAUAUUUUAAACCUCUGGUGAAAAUGAUUUCUCUUUGAUACAGCUCUCUCAUGCUCUUUUUUGCUAUAUGUUAA